GGAGUGCGUCAGUCUGAGGACCUGAAUUAACCUGCGGGCAAGAUUGCAACAACAGGAGUGUCAACGCACGUAGGGUCAACAAGCCCUUUCUGGGCCAUGGGGAUGCAGUGAUGCAGCACCGGAGGCCAGCACCUGCACUUGGCUCUGGGACCACACCCACUGGAGGAGUUUACAAAAGGUUUCAUAGGAACACUACUUUCAGAUAGCCGGCGGUCGGAAACCUGUACAAGAAAUUGACAUUUUCAGGAAGUUUGGAAGAUGGCAGAGUAGGAAGAGCUGAAGUCACCUCCUCCCACGGGCACAACAAUCUGUAACUACCUGCAGAACAAUUUCCUCUGAAAAAGAUCUGGAAACUGGAUAAAAAGCACCCCCACAGCAAGGGACAACACUGAUGGGGUGGAAGAGGCAGAAAUACAGCCCUGCUGAGGGCAAAAACCACACCCAAGGUGCAAUGCUUCACCGGCAGCGAGCCAUCUCAAAGGUAGGGAGCUUUUCCCAGGGGAGCAUGGGAUCUGAGCAGGGGAGCUAUGCCACAGUAGGCAUCUGAGCUCUUAGAUGCAGCACAGCCAAGAUCCCAUGAUACCUGGCUUUGCUGGCUUUAAAAACCAACAUGGAAUAUGCCCAGAAAAACUAUAGAACUUCAGAGAAAGGAAAACCUCUUAAAUGGCCCCCACGCAGAUUCACCCGAUCCAAAAACCAACAUAAAAACCCUGGAUAGAAAAGUGCAUAGUCCAUUGGUAAAAGAGACUCGCUUGCCAAGCGUGGAGCAGAUCUCAGAGAGGCAGCAGGCAGGGACUGAGAAAUUGGGGCAGCCGUUAUUGUGACCUAGUACACAGAUGCUGACACAGAUGCUGGCAGCCACCAUUGGAUUCCUUCUGAUAGCCUGUUAGUGCAUGGGUUUGCCCCUCCUAGUAGAGCACCUAAGGCAAUUGAGUGCAGCCAGGUCAAGCAACCUGCCCCAGGGACUGGCCUCACCAACCGGGAGGCCCGCAGCAAACUUGUGGGGCUGUGUAGGUGGGGUGUGUGGGACCUUGGUGGUAGGGCAGGAGGAUCCAAGUUGGGGCAUGCUUGUGGGUCCACAGUGGAGGGACAUGUGGGCCUGUGGGCAGCGGGCCAUGUGGGUCCACAGGAGACUUGUGCCACUGGCCAUUGCAAACAGCCACACAGGGGAUCUGCUCCAUCUUCCAAUGCCUGAAACAAUUGUACGCUGCUGUGCCUGGGGUCAGCUCCACCCAUCUGCACUCCUGAAGCAGCUGUGUACCACAAGACAGCAUAGCCAGAUCUGACCAGAGGCCUGCCCUGCCCGAAAGAGAGCCGAUAACAGCCACACACCACAGGAAGCCACACUGGGGGCCUGCAGCAAUUGUGAGCCCCUGAACCUAGCAAACAGUCACAUUGGGAGCCUGAUACGCUUAACAGAAUAACAGCAGUAGUUAUGUGCGAUUAGACCUUGCAGCCAGCCAUGCCAGGGCUUGCCCCACCCAAUAAAUUAACCAUAGCAGCUGCAAUCAGCUGAGCCUUACAACCAACCAGCCUGGGGCCCAACCUAGCCUACCAUGUGCUCACAGCAAUGGCAACCCCGCUACAACAGAAAAGCACACUCAGCUCACACAGGGCUCACUCCUGCAGCAUUUGGCAGGAAUGACAAGAGAGGAACACAUUGCUGGGCCCCGUAAGACAUCUCUUACAUGAGGCUACAUUUCUAAGAUUGGGAGACAUAGCUGAUCUGCCUAAUACAUAGAUAUUAGCACAGAGAAGUAGGCAAGAUGAAGAGACAAAGCAAUAUGUUCCAAAUAAGGGAACAGAAAAAGAACUAAACAAAACAGAGAUAAACAAUCUACUUGAUAAAGAAUAUAAACUAAUACUCAUAAGGAUGCUCACUGACCUUGGGAGGAGAAUAGAUGAACAAAGUGAGAACUUCAACAAAGAAUUGGAAAAUAUAAAAAGAACCAGACAGAACAGAAGAAUACAAUAAUGGAAAUGAAAAAUUCACUAGAAGGAAUCAACAACGGAGUAGAUAAUACAAAAGAACAGAUCAGCAAGGAGGAUGAAAGGUUAGAGAAAAUCACCCAAGCUGAACAGAAAAAAGAAUUAAAAAGAUUUAACACAAUCUAAGAGACCUCUGGGACAACAUCAAGUGUACUAAUAUCCAUAUUAUAGAUGUCCCAGAAGAAGAAGAGGGAGACAAAGGGACAGAGAAUCUAUUUGAAGAAAUAAUAGCUGAAAACUUCCCUAACCUAGGGAAGAAAACAGACAUCCAAGUACAGGAAGCACAGAGAGCACCAAACAAGAUGAACCCAAAGAGGUCAACACCAAGAUUUGUUAUAAUUAAAAUGUCAAGAAUUAACGAUAAAGAGAGAAUCCUAAAAGCUGCAGGAGAAAAGCAAUAAAUUACAUACAAAGGAAACCCCAUAAGGCUAUUAGCUGACUUCUCAGCAGAAACCUUACAGGCUAGAAGGGAGUGGCAUGAUAUAUUUAAAGUGCUGAAAAGAAAAAAACCUACAGCCAAGAAUACUGUACCUGACAAGGUUAUCAUUCAGAAUGGAAGGAGAGAUAAAGAGUUUUUCAGAUAAGCAAAAACUAAAGGAGUUCAUCACCACUAAGCCAGCCUUAUAAGAAUUGUUAAAGGGACUUAUUUAAGUGGAAAAGAAAAGGACACCCAUAGGAAUAAGAAAAUUAUCAAAGAAAAAAAAUCACUGAUAAAGGCAAAUAUAAAAGUAGUAGAUCAACCACCUAUCAAAUAUGAAGGUCAAAAGACAAAAGUGCUGAAAUUAUCUAUUUCCAUCAUGAGAGGUUAAAAGAUACACAAAAAUAAAAAAGAUAAAAUAUGAUAUCAAAAACAAAACGUGGGGAUGGGGUAGUAAAUGUGUAGGGCUUUUAGUAAGAGGUCAGACUUAAAGAGAUAAUCAACUUAAUUAGAUUGCUAUUUAUGUAGGCUAUUAUAGAUGAACCUCAAGGUCAUCACAAACUGAGAGCAUGUAAUAAAUACAUAAAAUAAUAAAUAAAGGGAAAGAAACCCAAAUGUAACACUAAAGAAAGCCAUCAAGUCCCAAGGGAACAAAGCAAGUGAAGAAAGGAACAAAG
ensembl:lncRNA